rnacentral:rRNA from 1 species
AUUGAACGCUGGCGGCAGGCCUAACACAUGCAAGUCGAGCGGAUGAAGGGAGCUUGCUCCUGGAUUCAGCGGCGGACGGGUGAGUAAUGCCUAGGAAUCUGCCUGGUAGUGGGGGAUAACGUCCGGAAACGGGCGCUAAUACCGCAUACGUCCUGAGGGAGAAAGUGGGGGAUCUUCGGACCUCACGCUAUCAGAUGAGCCUAGGUCGGAUUAGCUAGUUGGUGGGGUAAAGGCAUACCAAGGCGACGAUCCGUAACUGGUCUGAGAGGAUGACCAGUCACACUGGAACUGAGACACGGUCCAGACUCCUACGGGAGGCAGCAGUGGGGAAUAUUGGACAAUGGGCGAAAGCCUGAUCCAGCCAUGCCGCGUGUGUGAAGAAGGUCUUCGGAUUGUAAAGCACUUUAAGUUGGGAGGAAGGGCAGUAAGUUAAUACCUUGCUGUUUUGACGUUACCAACAGAAUAAGCACCGGCUAACUUCGUG